CAGUAGCCGCGGGAAUACGAAGGGGGCUAGCGUUGUUCGGAAUCACUGGGCGUAAAGCGCACGUAGGCGGAUGGUUAAGUCAGGGGUGAAAGCCUGGAGCUCAACUCCAGAACUGCCUUUGAUACUGGCCAUCUCGAGUCCGGAAGAGGUAAGUGGAACUGCGAGUGUAGAGGUGAAAUUCGUAGAUAUUCGCAAGAACACCAGUGGCGAAGGCGGCUUACUGGUCCGGUACUGACGCUGAGGUGCGAAAGCGUGGGGAGCAAACAGGAUUAGAUACCCGGGUAGUCCCUGUCUCUUAUAA
rnacentral:rRNA from 1 species